CCUAAUCGAUCAGACCGUUCAACCACCGGGAGAUCAACAUCAAGAUACGAACGAUCAGAUUGUUGUUUCACCCACACGCUCCUCGUAGGUAUAUUUACAAACAUUUCUUGGAUGACUUGUUCAUAAAAAGUUUUAUCAUAUAAGGCUAUAAACACAGUGCUGCUGUGAGCAUGUCACAAGAACAAAAAUAUCAAAGGCAGUGAUGAGAGGAACGUAGAGUUGAAGCAAAAAAAUCACAAACUUCUAUAGAACAUUUUCAUAGAACCUGAAAGGUUUACGCAUGUGUAUUGUUAACACAUUCCUUACUUUACACAUGUGUGUUGUUAACAUUUUUAUUUUACACAUUUGUACAUCAUGAAACCAAGUAAUAACUUGU